CAGUGAUGUCACAAUAGCAGCGCAGUAAACAAGCUGCCGUCACGGUGAGUUAGACAGUCAGUAUAGACCCGUGUUGUUGGCAUGAUGUCUACACAAAUCCUAUUGCUGUGUUUUCUCUUUUUCGGUGUUUGCGCCUCCAUCAAGGGGCAAGAAUCGCACGAUGGCUCCAGCGCUAAAGGAGAUCCGGAAGUAGAAACCGGGAAGAUUUCCGAUGAAGUUGUCCUAUACGCGACAUAUGGAAUGGCCGCAGUGACCGCGAUCCUGCACCUCGUUUCUUCCUGCAUCAUGCUAUUCUACGCCAUUCUUAAAAGAAAGAGAUCCGCGGAGCCAACAUCAGUCUAAGCGGAGAAAGCAGAGCGCUGCCAGUGUCCUGACGGGAGGUGGUCGGGCCGCACAAAUCAAAUGCCCCGAAAAUCAAUCAAAUCCUUGUUUUUUGUUUCUAGAUUGGCGUUAAUUUGACGUUAUCGCUUGAUUUCGCUUGUGAACUCGGAUAUCACUCAUUCUCAGGACGCACGAGAGGCAGCUGGACCCCUGCAGGCGCAUCAGACACAAGUUUUCCUCGGAGACUUUGUAUUCUUAAUCAAUAAAAUGUAGAUGUUGAUAUUACAGA